AACGAACGCUGGCGGCAUGCCUAACACAUGCAAGUCGAGCGCCUGUAGCGAUACGGGAGCGGCGCACGGGUGAGUAACGCGUGGGAACCUGCCCUUAGGUUCGGGACAACCGCGGGAAACUGCGGCUGAUACCGGAUGAAGUCCCCGAUAGAGAUAUUGGGGCCCAAAGAUUUAUCGCCUUUGGAGGGGCCCGCGUCGGAUUAGGUAGUUGGUGGGGUAACGGCUCACCAAGCCUGUGAUCCGUAGCUGGUCUGAGAGGAUGAUCAGCCACACUGGGACUGAGACUCGGCCCAGACUCCUACGGGAGGCAGCAGUGGGGAGUAUUGGACAAUGGGGGCAACCCUGAUCCAGCAAUGCCGCGUGGGUGAUGAAGGCCUUCGGGUUGUAAAGCCCUUUCGGCGGGGACGAUGAUGACGGUACCCGCAGAAGAAGCCCCGGCUAACUUCGUGCCAACAGCCGCCGCGGUAA
rnacentral:rRNA from 1 species